GUUUGACCAUCAAUUUUCCUAAUAUGAUAUCACACGUUCUUUCAGAUUAUUUUUUUUACUUAAUUGGCUUUAAAAGUUACAAUGCAUGAUGUCGUCUGGUUAUGUAGUUCAUAUGUGUUUUUCGUUUCUCGUUGGUUUUCCCGUUUGAAUGGUUUUACACUAGUAGUUUUGGGGCCCUCUAUAACUUGUUGUUCGGUGUGAGCCAAG
rnacentral:lncRNA from 1 species